ACCAGACUCCUACGGGAGGCAGCAGUCGGGAAUAUUGCGCAAUGGAGGAAACUCUGACGCAGUGACGCCGCGUAUAGGAAGAAGGUUUUCGGAUUGUAAACUAUUGUCAUCAGGGAAGAUAAAAGACAGUACCUGAGGAGGAAGCUCCGGCUAACUAUGUGCCAGCAGCCGCGGUAAUACAUAGGGAGCAAGCGUUAUCCGGAUUUAUUGGGUGUAAAGGGUGCGUAGACGGGAAAGCAAGUUAGUUGUGAAAUCCCUCGGCUUAACUGAGGAACUGCAACUAAAACUGUUUUUCUUGAGUGUCGGAGAGGAAAGUGGAACUCCUAGUGUAGCGGUGAAAUGCGUAGAUAUUAGGAGGAACACCAGUGGCGAAGGCGACUUUCUGGACGAUAACUGACGUUGAGGCACGAAAGUGUGGGGAGCAAACAGGAUUAGAUACCCCGGUA
rnacentral:rRNA from 1 species